rnacentral:rRNA from 1 species
GGUUGGAGGGCAAGUCUGGUGCCAGCAGCCGCGGUAAUUCCAGCUCCAAUAGCGUAUAUUAAAGUUGUUGCAGUUAAAAAGCUCGUAGUUGAAUUUCGGGAUCAAUGUUUCGGUCAUGCCGUUGGUAUGUACUGAUAUUAUUGAUUUCUCACCUUCUAAAGAACCGUAAUGCCAUUAAUUUGGUGUCACGGGAAUUAGACGUU